GUGUCGGUUUAGCUCAACGGUUACUUCUCGAACAAAUUCUCCGUAACUCCAGAGUUGCGGGUUCGACCAUGGGCGCUGUCCGAUGCUUUU
rnacentral:vault_RNA from 1 species